ACUGCUUCUUGGCCUUUUGGCUAAGAUCAAGUGUGGUAUCUCUUCUUAUCAGUUUAAUAUCUGAUAAUCCUCUAUCUGAGGACAAUACUUUACAUGUGUUUUUGGAAGUAGGGAUUGUAACAGGAGCUUGCUCUGUCUACCCCAUGCAUAGAUGUAUUUGAGCACCUCCAGGCAUGAUGCACCCUGU